rnacentral:rRNA from 1 species
UUUAUGGAGAGUUUGAUCCUGGCUCAGGAUGAACGCUGGCGGCGUGCCUAAUACAUGCAAGUCGAGCGAACGGACGAGAAGCUUGCUUCUCUGAUGUUAGCGGCGGACGGGUGAGUAACACGUGGAUAACCUACCUAUAAGACUGGGAUAACUUCGGGAAACCGGAGCUAAUACCGGAUAAUAUUUUGAACCGCAUGGUUCAAAAGUGAAAGACGGUCUUGCUGUCACUUAUAGAUGGAUCCGCGCUGCAUUAGCUAGUUGGUAAGGUAACGGCUUACCAAGGCAACGAUGCAUAGCCGACCUGAGAGGGUGAUCGGCCACACUGGAACUGAGACACGGUCCAGACUCCUACGGGAGGCAGCAGUAGGGAAUCUUCCGCAAUGGGCGAAAGCCUGACGGAGCAACGCCGCGUGAGUGAUGAAGGUCUUCGGAUCGUAAAACUCUGUUAUUAGGGAAGAACAUAUGUGUAAGUAACUGUGCACAUCUUGACGGUACCUAAUCAGAAAGCCACGGCUAACUACGUGCCAGCAGCCGCGGUAAUACGUAGGUGGCAAGCGUUAUCCGGAAUUAUUGGGCGUAAAGCGCGCGUAGGCGGUUUUUUAAGUCUGAUGUGAAAGCCCACGGCUCAACCGUGGAGGGUCAUUGGAAACUGGAAAACUUGAGUGCAGAAGAGGAAAGUGGAAUUCCAUGUGUAGCGGUGAAAUGCGCAGAGAUAUGGAGGAACACCAGUGGCGAAGGCGACUUUCUGGUCUGUAACUGACGCUGAUGUGCGAAAGCGUGGGGAUCAAACAGGAUUAGAUACCCUGGUAGUCCACGCCGUAAACGAUGAGUGCUAAGUGUUAGGGGGUUUCCGCCCCUUAGUGCUGCAGCUAACGCAUUAAGCACUCCGCCUGGGGAGUACGACCGCAAGGUUGAAACUCAAAGGAAUUGACGGGGACCCGCACAAGCGGUGGAGCAUGUGGUUUAAUUCGAAGCAACGCGAAGAACCUUACCAAAUCUUGACAUCCUUUGACAACUCUAGAGAUAGAGCCUUCCCCUUCGGGGGACAAAGUGACAGGUGGUGCAUGGUUGUCGUCAGCUCGUGUCGUGAGAUGUUGGGUUAAGUCCCGCAACGAGCGCAACCCUUAAGCUUAGUUGCCAUCAUUAAGUUGGGCACUCUAAGUUGACUGCCGGUGACAAACCGGAGGAAGGUGGGGAUGACGUCAAAUCAUCAUGCCCCUUAUGAUUUGGGCUACACACGUGCUACAAUGGACAAUACAAAGGGCAGCGAAACCGCGAGGUCAAGCAAAUCCCAUAAAGUUGUUCUCAGUUCGGAUUGUAGUCUGCAACUCGACUACAUGAAGCUGGAAUCGCUAGUAAUCGUAGAUCAGCAUGCUACGGUGAAUACGUUCCCGGGUCUUGUACACACCGCCCGUCACACCACGAGAGUUUGUAACACCCGAAGCCGGUGGAGUAACCUUUUAGGAGCUAGCCGUCGAAGGUGGGACAAAUGAUUGGGGUGAAGUCGUAACAAGGUAGCCGUAUCGGAAGGUGCGGCU